rnacentral:rRNA from 1 species
UACGAAGGGUGCUAGCGUUGUUCGGAAUCACUGGGCGUAAAGCGCGCGUAGGCGGCUUUGCAAGUCAGGGGUGAAAUCCUGGGGCUUAACCCCAGAAUUGCCUUUGAAACUGCAAAGCUAGAGUACUGGAGGGGAUAGCGGAAUUCCUAAUGUAGAGGUGAAAUUCGUAGAUAUUAGGAGGAACACCGGUGGCGAAGGCGGCUAUCUGGACAGUAACUGACGCUCUGGCGCGAAAGUGCGGGGAUCAAACAGG